GGCGGCGUGCUUAACACAUGCAAGUCGCACGAGAAUUCUUUAAGCUUGCUUAAAGAUAGUAAAGUGGCGCACGGGUGAGUAACGCGUGGGCAAUCUACCUCCGAAUUGGGGAUAACUCCGCGAAAGCGGGGCUAAUACCGAAUAAUAUCCCGAGAACUCUGGUUUUUGGGAUCAAAGGUGGCCUCUACAUGUAAGCUACUGUUUGGAGAUGAGCCCGCGUACCAUUAGCUUGUUGGUAGGGUAAUGGCCUACCAAGGCGACGAUGGUUAGCUGGUCUGAGAGGAUGAUCAGCCACACUGGAACUGACACACGGUCCAGACUCCUACGGGAGGCAGCAGUGAGGAAUUUUGCGCAAUGGGGGAAACCCUGACGCAGCAACGCCGCGUGAGUGAUGAAGGCUUUCGAGUCGUAAAGCUCUGUCAAGUGAGAAGAACCUGUCCCGUGUUAAUACCGCGGGAUACUGACGGUAUCACUGAAGGAAGCACCGGCUAACUCCGUGCCAGCAGCCGCGGUAAUACGGGGGGUGCAAGCGUUAUUCGGAAUCAUUGGGCGUAAGGGCGCGCAGGCGGUCUUUUAAGUCAGAUGUGAAAGCCCGGGGCUCAACCCCGGAAGUGCAUUUGAAACUGAGAGACUUGAGUAUGGGAGAGGGAAGUGGAAUUCCUGGUGUAGAGGUGAAAUUCGUAGAUAUCAGGAGGAACACCGGUGGCGAAGGCGACUUCCUGGACCAAUACUGACGCUGAGGCGCGAAAGCGUGGGGAGCAAACAGGAUUAGAUACCCUGGUAGUCCACGCAGUAAACGGUGAACACUAGGUGUAGCGGGUAUUGACCCCUGCUGUGCCGUAGCUAACGCAUUAAGUGUUCCGCCUGGGGA
rnacentral:rRNA from 1 species